rnacentral:rRNA from 1 species
AUUGAACGCUGGCGGCAGGCCUAACACAUGCCAGUCGAGCGGAUGAAGGGAGCUUGCUCCUGGAUUCAGCGGCGGACGGGUGAGUAAUGCCUAGGAAUCUGCCUGGUAGUGGGGGCUAACGUCCGUAAACGGGCGCUAAUACCGCAUACGACCUGAUGGAGAACGUGGGGGAUCUUCGGACCUAACGGUAUCAGAUGAGCCUAGGUCGGAUUAGCUAGUUGGUGGGGUAAAGGCCUACCAAGGCGACGAUCCGUAACUGCUCUGAGAGGAUGAUCAGACACACUGGAACUGAGACACGGUCCAGACUCCUACGGGAGGCAGCAGUGGGGAAUAUUGGACAAUGGGCGAAAGCCUGAUCCAGCAAUGCCGCGUGUGUGAAGAAGGUCUUCGGAUUGUAAAGCACUUUAAGUUGGGAGGAAGGGAAGUAAGUUAAUACCUUGCUGUUUUGACGGUACCAACAGAAUAAGCACCGGCUAACUUCGUG